UACGUAGGGUGCGAGCGUUGUCCGGAAUUAUUGGGCGUAAAGGGCUCGUAGGCGGUCUGUUGCGUCGGGAGUGAAAACUCAGGGCUUAACCCUGAGCCUGCUUCCGAUACGGGCAGACUAGAGGUAUGCAGGGGAGAACGGAAUUCCUGGUGUAGCGGUGAAAUGCGUAGAUAUCUGGAGGAACACCGGUGGCGAAGGCGGCAUCCUGGACCAACACUGACGCUGAGGAGCGAAAGCCAGGGGAGCAAACGGG
rnacentral:rRNA from 1 species